rnacentral:rRNA from 1 species
AGCGAACGUUAGCGGCGGGCCUAACACAUGCAAGUCGAACGAGAAUGAGGGGGCAACUCCUCUAGUAAAGUGGCGGACGGGUGCGUAACACGUGGGCAAUCUACCUUCCAGCGGGGGACAACCGUCCGAAAGGAUGGCUAAUACCGCGUACGUCGGCGAGGGCUCCGGUCCUUGUCGGGAAAGACGGCCUCUCCUUGGAAGCUGUCACUGGAAGAUGAGCCCGCGGCCCAUCAGCUUGUUGGCGAGGUAACGGCUCACCAAGGCAAAGACGGGUAGCUGGUCUGAGAGGAUGAUCAGCCACACUGGGACUGCGACACGGCCCAGACUCCUACGGGAGGCAGCAGUGGGGAAUAUUGGGAAAUGGGCGGAACCCUGAUCCAGCCAUGCCGCGUGUGUGAAGAAGGCCUUAUGGUUGUAAAGCACUUAAGCGAGGAGGAGGCUACUGAGACUAAUACUCUUGGAUAGUGGACGUUACUCGCAGAAUAAGCACCGGCUAACUCUGUGCCAGCAGCCGCCGUAAAAC